UACGUAGGGGGCAAGCGUUGUCCGGAAUCAUUGGGCGUAAAGAGCGUGUAGGCGGCCAGAUAAGUCCGCUGUGAAAUCUCGAGGCUCAACUUCGAGCUGUCGGCGGAAACCAUCUGGCUAGAGUCCGGAAGAGGAGAGUGGAAUUCCUGGUGUAGCGGUGAAAUGCUUAGAUAUGACAUAGAACACCAAUUGCGAAGGCAGCUCACUACACGAAUAUUGACACUGAGGCACGAAAGCGUGGGGAUCAAACAGG
rnacentral:rRNA from 1 species